GACGAACGCUGGCGGCGUGCUUAACACAUGCAAGUCGAACGGAAAGGCUCUGCUUUUGUGGGGUGCUCGAGUGGCGAACGGGUGAGUAACACGUGAGUAACCUGCCCUUGACUUUGGGAUAACUUCAGGAAACUGGGGCUAAUACCGGAUAGGAGCUCCUGCUGCAUAGUGGGGGUUGGAAAGUUUCGGCGGUUGGGGAUGGACUCGCGGCUUAUCAGCUUGUUGGUGGGGUAGUGGCUUACCAAGGCUUUGACGGGUAGCCGGCCUGAGAGGGUGACCGGCCACAUUGGGACUGAGAUACGGCCCAGACUCCUACGGGAGGCAGCAGUGGGGAAUAUUGCACAAUGGGCGGAAGCCUGAUGCAGCAACGCCGCGUGCGGGAUGACGGCCUUCGGGUUGUAAACCGCUUUCGCCUGUGACGAAGCGUGAGUGACGGUAAUGGGUAAAGAAGCACCGGCUAACUACGUG
rnacentral:rRNA from 1 species